UACACAUGCAAGUCGAGCGGAUGACAGGAGCUUGCUCCUGAAUUCAGCGGCGGACGGGUGAGUAAUGCCUAGGAAUCUGCCUGGUAGUGGGGGACAACGUUUCGAAAGGAACGCUAAUACCGCAUACGUCCUACGGGAGAAAGCAGGGGACCUUCGAGCCUUGCGCUAUCAGAUGAGCCUAGGUCGGAUUAGCUAGUUGGUGAGGUAAUGGCUCACCAAGGCGACGAUCCGUAACUGGUCUGAGAGGAUGAUCAGUCACACUGGAACUGAGACACGGUCCAGACUCCUACGGGAGGCAGCAGUGGGGAAUAUUGGACAAUGGGCGAAAGCCUGAUCCAGCCAUGCCGCGUGUGUGAAGAAGGUCUUCGGAUUGUAAAGCACUUUAAGUUGGGAGGAAGGGCAGUAAAUUAAUACUUUGCUGUUUUGACGUUACCGACAGAAUAAGCACCGGCUAACUCUGUGCCAGCAGCCGCGGCAAU
rnacentral:rRNA from 1 species